rnacentral:rRNA from 1 species
UAGCGGUGAAAUGCUUAGAUAUCACGAAGAACUCCGAUUGCGAAGGCAGCUUACUAACCUGUAACUGACAUUGAUGCUCGAAAGUGUGGGUAUCAAACAGGAUUAGAUACCCUGGUAGUCCACACGGUAAACGAUGAAUACUCGCUGUAGGCGAUAUACGGUCUGCGGCCAAGCGAAAGCAUUAAGUAUUCCACCUGGGGAGUACGCCGGCAACGGUGAAACUCAAAGGAAUUGACGGGGGCCCGCACAAGCGGAGGAACAUGUGGUUUAAUUCGAUGAUACGCGAGGAACCUUACCCGGGCUUAAAUUGCAACAGAAUAUAUUGGAAACAGUAUAGCCGUAAGGCUGUUGUGAAGGUGCUGCAUGGUUGUCGUCAGCUCGUGCCGUGAGGUGUCGGCUUAAGUGCCAUAACGAGCGCAACCCUUGCCGAUAGUUACUAACAGGUUAUGCUGAGGACUCUGUCGGGACUGCCAUCGUAAGAUGUGAGGAAGGUGGGGAUGACGUCAAAUCAGCACGGCCCUUACGUCCGGGGCUACACACGUGUUACAAUGGGGGGUACAGAGGGCUGCUACCACGCAAGUGGAUGCCAAUCCCAAAAACCUCUCUCAGUUCGGAUUGAAGUCUGCAACCCGACUUCAUGAAGCUGGAUUCGCUAGUAAUCGCGCAUCAGCCACGGCGCGGUGAAUACGUUCCCGGGCCUUGUACACACCGCCCGUCAAGCCAUGGGAGCCGGGGGUACCUGAAGUGCGUAACCGCGAGGAGCGCCCUAGGGUAAAACUGGUGACUGGGGCUAAGUCGUAACAAGGUAGCCGUACCGGAAGGUGCGGCUG